CAAAAUGGGAGUCCAAACCACCUGUUCAUGGAGUUUAGUGUUCAUGGUCUAGAAGAGCCCUGGCUGGAUUUUAUAUGUACUAUUUCUGCCACUGGCCAAGUAAAGAUCAUAGGAGAUGCUCGACACUCAGAAGUCAAAGCAUGGAAAGUGAGGUGUGGCAAAAGGAAAGCAGCUUUUAUUGGUCAAACGCCUACAAAUGAGAGAAUGGCCAGGCUCAAGCCUCAAAGGAUUCAUGGUUGGCUAAGUACCAAGUUGUUCAGGAAAAAUAUCUCACAACACUUCCAAUCAGAAUUCAGAGGAAAUGUCACCUACGUAAACUGCAACUUGACCAACAGUUACUUACAGAGAACCAGUUUAAGGUUUAUUUUCCACCACUGUGACUUUGUGCCCUUCUGUAAGCAUAUCAGGGAAAAGGAAGUCGAUGAUUUUACUCACUUACUUUCUCGGUCUCUGGUGUCCUUCCUAUAAAUUUACUGCAAGAGGCCUCUGGAACUGUAAUGGGAGGAGCAGCCUAGAAGACUUCUAAAAUUCUUUUGAGGCCUUUUGCCCAUUGUCUUGUGUAUUAACACUCAGCUCCUUUUUGGUUAUGCUAUUUUCACUAGCAAGUGGUUGUUCAGGCCCUACCUUUAAUAUUGGAGAUUAUAUUUCAGCACAAGAUUUGGGUAAGGACAAAUAUCUAAACUUUAUUAGUGUCCCUCUCUUCUUGAUUUACUUCACUCAUCAUAGUGUCCUCCAGAUUCAUUCAUACUUCCACAAGUGAUAGAAGUUUAUUAUUUCAUCCUAAAUAUAUUCUCUUUUCAAUUCCAUUUAUUUGUCAAGUGAUAUGAGUUGAUUAUACAUCUUUGCUAUUGUAAAUAGUGCCGGAAUGAACAUGAGAGUGCAGAUAUCUCUUAGACAUACUGAUUUCAUUUCCUUUGGCUAUAUACCCACUCUUGUGUGUUGGGACUAUAUGCAGGGCAAAACCAACUUAUUGUUUGUGCACUGGUCUUCAGAUUGCUUAGCAAAAGAACAAAGCUGGAGCCAUGUGAUUUCAAAAUAUAUUACAUAGCAGUUAUAACCGAAACAGCAUAAUACUGGCAUAAAAACAGACAUAUAAUGGGACAGUCAUAACAAGUAUAGAACAUUCUACUCAAAAUAGGAAAAAAAAAUCCCCCUCCUCUUAUAUUUUUCCUUAUUCACCUUCUCCUUCUUCUUUAUCAUAUCCACUAAUGAUAUCACCAAAUUAUCUUUCUUGCUUUAUAUAGUUGCCUCAAAUAUGGCUAUUAUUAUUUUAGCCUCAGAUUUUUUAUCUUUCUACCGAUAGGCACAGGCUCUCCAACCUGCAUUAUAAGCAGCCUGAGUUCAGUGGCUCAUUCACAGUAAGUGCCCAUCACUGUAUUAAAGUGUCUUUUUGAAAACAUUCAGACUCUAGGAUCAGUGAAGGCCUCAAAGUCAAAAGCUGAAUCCAGUUUUAUCUUGUACCUCUAAAUGAAAUCUAUUUUGUGAAAUUUGCCUUUCUUGAAAUACCAUCUUAGUCAUGCAUUUAAAAAGCAAUGUUUCCUAUUAAAUGUUGCCUUUUUAGGGAUGCUAUAUUAGAAAUGGUUUAUCUGAACAUAUAUUUGCUAAGGAACUAGAAGCACCAUUUUACUAUUUUUUUUUUGUCUUAGGUGAUCUGUUUCAAUUCUAAAAUUUAAAAGUGUUUUCUCUACUAAUCGUAACUCCUAGCAAUCAUAUAUAUUCUGAUAUAUAUAUAUAUUCUGAUAUAUAUAUAUAUAUAUAUACCAGAAAGCAAUGAAGCAGAAAUAUGUGGCAGAAAGCAAUGCAUUUAAUGACAUCAAGGUAGUAUUGGUUCUGAAAGAAACUAUAUUGGUCUUCAUUGGGCCCCUUAAGAAUAAACAAAAAACUUGGAGGUGCAGAAUGUAAGAAUAACUUAGAUGUCUAGAAUGUCAAUACAACUUAGCUUGUAUUCUUUGCAUUCUGCAUCUCCAAAGUUUUUCUUUAUUCUCAGGGGGCCCAAUGAAGACCAAUAUAGUUUAUUUCAGUAACUAAUAUUUCACCUUGAGGUCAUAAAAAGCAUUGCUUUCUGCCACUAUUUCCCUGCAGCCAUGGAAUGUGGCCCUAUUUUUUAAUUUCUCUCUAUUUUUACCCUCUGCUCCUAUUCUAGUAGCUUUAUUUCAUUUCUAACAUCAUAGCCUGCUAUUUAUGCUGACUCUUACUUCAUGCUGCAUUAUCACUGCUGAUUGAAUCAGAGUAGUGUGCCUUCAUCAUUGCGCAUUUUGUUUGUCUGUUUUCCCUCAAGGUCAAGCUAUUUGUUUUGAUAAUGUACUUUUCUAUAUUUAGAUUUAUGAGUAUUCUCUAGAGCAAGAAAAAUAAAAUACAGGAGAGUUCAUUAAAAAAAAAUUGGCUCACCUCCAUCUCCUUAAGUACAAUAAUUCCAUCCAGGAAGUGUCUUCCUUGAUUUCUGUUUCUCAGUAAGGCUUUUUAUUUCAUAUGACUCAUCUUUUCUGAGUUUUUUCCUUAGACAUUUAAUUUGAUACAAAUGUUGGAGAUAAAUUUCAUGUAAUUGCUUUACCUAAACACUAGCAGAAAUAACAAUUGCC
rnacentral:lncRNA from 1 species